ACAUAAUUCCAACGGAAUCUACCACUUAAAAUAACCUCAACUAUAUAAACACACCAAGUUACCAAAAUCACCUCAAAAAAAUGAAUAGUAACGAAUCAGCUCGGGUUUGCGAUGGCGAAUACCCCAUAAAUAAGGUGAUUGAUUGUAUGUAUGGGCCUGGACCAAGGACUGCUGACAACGUUUAUUGUUUAACCGAAUGGUCCCCAACAUGGGUGAAAAUGAGUGAUCUGCACUUAGGUGAUGGAAAAAUUUUAGAGACCCAAAUUACGGCCAUUCAAUCGUGCGACUUGGAGGAAAUACGAAAG